rnacentral:rRNA from 1 species
AACAUCUAAGUACCCCGAGGAAAAGAAAUCAACCGAGAUUCCGAAAGUAGCGGCGAGCGAAAUUGGACUAGCCCUUAAGCUUUACACGCGUUAGACGAACGGUCUGGAAAGUCCGACGAUACAGGGUGAUAGUCCCGUAGUUGACGACGUGUGUUCAGUGAAAUCGAGUAGGGCGGGACACGUGAUAUCCUGUCUGAAUAUGGGGGGACCAUCCUCCAAGGCUAAAUACUACUGACUGACCGAUAGUGAACCAGUACCGUGAGGGAAAGGCGAAAAGAACCCCUGUGAGGGGAGUGAAAUAGAACCUGAAACCGUGUACGU